UGAAUACGAGAUGCUACGGCGUCGAAGCAGUCUAUGUCAUACUUCCAAGAAAAGCUUGCACUGUCAUAAACAAAUAAUGCCUGUACCAUAACCGACACAGGUGGGUAGGUAGAGUAUACUAAGGGGCGCGAGAUAACUCUCUCUAAGGAACUCGGCAAAAUGACUCCGUAACUUCGGGAGAAGGAGUGCCUUAUUUAUAAGGUUGCAAUAACAAGAUCCAAGCAACUGUUUACCAAAAACACAGGUCUCCGCUAAGUCGUAAGACGAUGUAUGGGGGCUGACGCCUGCCCAGUGCCAGAAGGUUAAAGAAGUUGGUUAGCAUCCGCGAAGCUGAUAACUGAAGCCCUGGUGAACGGCGGCCGUAACAAUAACGGUCCUAAGGUAGCGAAAUUCCUUGUCGGGUAAGUUCCGACCCGCACGAAAGGCGUAAUGAUUUGGAUACUGUCUCGGAGAGGGGCUCGGUGAAAUAGACUUGUCUGUGAAGAUGCGGACUACCUGCACCAGGACAGAAAGACCCUAUGAAGCUUUACUGUAACCUGAAAUUGAAAUUUGACUUUACUUGCGCAGUAUAGGUGGGAGGCGUUGAGAAUAUUCUUGCGGGAUUAUUGGAGCCAUCAGUGAGAUACCACUCUUGUAAUGUUAGAUUUCUAACUUUGUAUCAUUAUCUGGUCAAAGAACAGUUUCAGGCGGGCAGUUUGACUGGGGCGGUCGCCUCCUAAACGGUAACGGAGGCGCACAAAGGUUUCCUCUGAACGGGUAGAAAUCGUAUCUAGAGUGUAAAGGCAUAAGGAAGCUUGACUGUGAGACCUACAAGUCGAGCAGGGACGAAAGUCGGUCUUAGUGAUCUGACGGUGCUGAGUGGAAAGGCCGUCACUCAACGGAUAAAAGUUACUCUAAGGAUAACAGGCUGAUCUCCCCCAAGAGUUCACAUCGACGGGGAGGUUUGGCACCUCGAUGUCGGCUCAUCGCAUCCUGGGGCGGUAGUACGUCCCAAGGGUUGGGCUGUUCGCCCAUGAAAGCGGUACGCGAGCUGGGUUCAGAACGUCGUGAGACAGUUCGGUCCAUAUCCGGUGUAGGCGUUAGAAUAUUGAGAGGAGCCUUCUUUAGUACGAGAGGACCGAGAAGGACAUACCUCUGGUGUACCAGUUAUCGUGCCAACGGUAAACGCUGGGUAGCUAUGUGUGGAGUGGAUAACCGCUGAAAGCAUCUAAGUGGGAAGCCCACCUCAAGAUAAG
rnacentral:rRNA from 1 species